UUGAAGAAGGGAGAGAUUUCUAACUGAACAACAACCACGGUCUCACAGAUGAAGGUCACUUGAGGAGCAAUCAUCAGAAUCCUGAAGGCAACAACAAAGUGCCACCACCACCAACAGAAAGAACACGGCGGACAGUCUGAAAAAAGAUAAUCAAUAUCUCAGCCUCAGGAAUGUGAACCAUUCUUGGGACAUAGCGGUGGUCACGAGGCCACAGUAAGAACACAGGAAACUCACAGGCUGCGCCUUAGACAUGCCAGCAGACAACGUCCAGCAGGGCAAGGGCCACGUGGGCGCUCUUCCGGGAAACAACGCGGCAUCCCAGAUGUGCUCCACGACUGGGAUGGAAAACACACGGAACCUGAAAAGGCAGAGCAAAGGCCAAGCAGCGGCAUGACCACGGCAAGAGGCGGGGAAGAGGCGCCAUCACUGUGGGCUGUGACCAGGGUCAUACCAGUCAGGUAGAGAGGCGGACAGUGUUGGACUUUACCUGAGCCCUGUGCUCCUGGCCACCAGCGAAGGUUCCCGGAGGUCUCUCAGUCUUCUGUGUUCCGGAAAACAGCCCACAGCAAAGAACCACCCUUCCCAUGGGACUCAACUUAGACAAGACUCAGAGAUGCCCCCCUUGGUUACCUAUGGUCCCUGAAUUGUAGCCCACUCUCAGCCUGCGAGCGCAUACGGCCGCUGUUUAUGGGGCCCUCCUGGAGAAGACAGUGCUCUCAGGGGAAAGCGUCCUCUGAUCUGCUGUCCUGGGUGCCAUCCUUCCAUCCCACUUCCCCACACCCGGUUCUCGCGAGCUUUGUCCACCCCUCCUAUAAAAGGAACGCCCUCUUGCCGAACUCAUGCCUGCAUUCCUAAGGUCACGGGGCUCUUUCUAAGGCAACUGUAAUGUGAUAGCCUCACAACGUUGUAAUAGCCCCUUUCCUCCUUUGCAAUAACCCUUUCAAAUAAAGUCUCUCCUUACUAAGUCUGUUUUUAAUUUUACAAAACCAAGAAGUCUAAUUAAAGCUGAGAGAAACUGACCAAAUAAAACAGAUCAGGAUUAUAAGACAAAGCCUUCUUGCUCUAGAAGCAAAAUCACGCCACGUUCAUAAGGGUAACCAUAUUUUUCUUUCUUUUUUUUUUUUUUUCUUUGCUCCAAGAUAAAAUUUCAAAACUUCACGGACAGUGCUUUCUGAAUAAUACUUGCACUCAAAUGAAGAGUGAGGGUUUUGGUUUUUUUUUUUUUUC